ACGUGGUCUUCUUGAGAUGACGUUACUCCUACAAUCAUAAUAAGUUAUGUAAAUACAAUAACAAAUAUUCAUCUUAUGUUGUCUUUUCUUUUGUUGUGUGGUAUCGUUUGAUGUCAUCGUCGAUCUUUGCUCAGGAGACCUCUCAUUUUAGACGAGGACUGCUCAGUAUUUUUUCCAUCAGGUCUCUCAUGUAUUAAUUGUGAAUGGUGCUCCGAUGUUUCGUGAUUCCC
rnacentral:lncRNA from 1 species